rnacentral:sRNA from 1 species
UGUAUAAGCGAUAAGACCGCUGUGGGUUCCUUCAGUGUUCCCUUCCGUAGGUUGGCUAAGCUGAGGGGAAUUCGCCCACAGGGCUCGCUUUUUCU